rnacentral:lncRNA from 1 species
ACAUACAGGCAGCCACAUCUCAUUGUGUUCUAAUGAGAAACCAUCCUACAUCUAUCCCUCAGCCAAGCAGAGAUGCACAGAGGGACAUGGCUGAGAGCAACACUUGGGACAAGGUGUAUUGAAGUCUAUCAACCACCAGCAAUGUGCUGCAGGAGGACCACAGAACUACAGGGCUGCCCUCUUCCGAACACUCACAUAACUGUUAGAGCUACCUGGCACCAGGCUUGGGCAAUGCCUUCUGUAACAGAAUGAGAAGUCUCCAGAGCCUGCUCAGAGGAUUUUCAGGCGGCUGUUUUAAUCGGGUGAAUCCUCUCAUGUGGUAAAAGUGACGUUGCUAUGGAAACCAUAUCUGCCAGGAGAGGUGACACCAGCCUGCACGCUGCCGGAGAGGGAAGCGACGAUGGGAUGGCUCAGCCACUUGGCACAGCCCCGACCUCACAGCGAGAGCUCAGCCCAGUGUUGCAUCUUUAUUAAAAGGAACUGCCUAGAAGGAUGCUUCUCAUUUCAGUUUACGCAAGCACACCAUGUCUGGCUGAUGUCUGUGGCACUGGAGGAUGGGUUUGCCAGGACCCGGCUUUCCUUGGGGGCACCGCUGGAGCCCUGA